AUUAUAAGGCUAUUAUGCUGUUUAUAUACCAUACUCGCUACAACGUUUACAAAUGGCAGAUACCUUGCAUGGACCCACGGUGCCUGUACCACGUGACUUUUUCGGCUAUGUGUGGGACAAUCGGCUGUCAACAACCCAUCGCUUCAGAUUUGCGAGGUGACCAGUUUCGAGACAUUGGUUCGCUCCUGCUUGUGUAC